UACGUAGGGGGCAAGCGUUGUCCGGAUUUAUUGGGCGUAAAGAGCGUGUAGGCGGCCAGAUAGGUCUGUUGUGAAAACUCGAGGCUCAACCUCGAGACGCCGAUGGAAACCAUCUGGCUAGAGUCCGGAAGAGGAGAGUGGAAUUCCUGGUGUAGCGGUGAAAUGCGUAGAUAUCAGGAGGAACACCGGUGGUGUAGACGGCUAUCUGGACCGUAACUGACGCUGAGGCACGAAAGCGUGGGUAGCAAACAGG
rnacentral:rRNA from 1 species